CCUACGGGAGGCAGCAGUAGGGAAUCUUCCACAAUGGGCGAAAGCCUGAUGGAGCAACGCCGCGUGAGUGAUGAAGGCCUUCGGGUUGUAAAACUCUGUCAUUCGGGACGAACCGGAGUCUGAGGAAAUGCAGACUCUCUGACGGUACCGGAGGAGGAAGCCCCGGCUAACUACGUGCCAGCAGCCGCGGUAAUACGUAGGGGGCAAGCGUUGUCCGGAUUCACUGGGCGUAAAGCGCGCGCAGGCGGUGAUGUAAGUCUGAGGUGAAAACCCGAAGCUCAACUUCGGGACUGCCUUGGAUACUGCGUCACUUGAGGAUAGGAGAGGCAAGGGGAAUUCCACGUGUAGCGGUGAAAUGCGUAGAGAUGUGGAGGAACACCUGUGGCGAAGGCGCCUUGCUGGCCUAUUUCUGACGCUGAGGCGCGAAAGCGUGGGGAGCAAACAGGAUUAGAUACCCUGGUAGUCCACGCUGUAAACGAUGAGUGNGUAGUGUAGGUAGGGUCGUCACUACCACUCUGUGCGACGACGAACGACGAUAAGUAGACUUCCGCCGUCGGGUUAGGGUUACGGGUACGGCGAGACGAGAAACGUUAAAAGUUAAGUUAAGUUAGUUACGGACGGUUGGAGGACGACGACCGAACGGACGGACCGAACCGAACGGGGAAGGGUAAGGGUAGG
rnacentral:rRNA from 1 species